CGUUCCCGGGUCUUGUACACACCGCCCGUCACACCAUGGGAGUGGGUUUCACCAGAAGUAGCUAGUCUAACCGCAAGGGGGACGGUUACCACGGCAGGGUUCGUGACUGGGGUG
rnacentral:rRNA from 1 species